rnacentral:rRNA from 1 species
GACGAACGCUGGCGGCGUGCUUAACACAUGCAAGUCGAACGGAAAGGCCCUGCUUUUGUGGGGUGCUCGAGUGGCGAACGGGUGAGUAACACGUGAGUAACCUGCCCUUGACUUUGGGAUAACUUCAGGAAACUGGGGCUAAUACCGGAUAGGAGCUCCUGCUGCAUGGUGGGGGUUGGAAAGUUUCGGCGGUUGGGGAUGGACUCGCGGCUUAUCAGCUUGUUGGUGGGGUAGUGGCUUACCAAGGCUUUGACGGGUAGCCGGCCUGAGAGGGUGAACGGCCACAUUGGGACUGAGAUAGGGCCCAGACUCCUACGGGAGGCAGCAGUGGGGAAUAUUGCAUAAUGGGCGGAAGUCUGAUGAAGCAACGCCGCGUGCGGGAUGAAGGCCUUCGGGUUGUAAACCGCAUUCGCCUGUGACGAAGCGUGAGUGACGGUAAUGGGUAAAGAAGCACCGGCUAACUACGUG